AAGGAUUGCUGUUAAAAAUGUAUAGGCCCAUUGAGACACAGGAGAACUAAAUCUCCCUAACAUUAGGCUAUAUUUCUGGGCAUCCCAUAUGGAGUAUUUGGCAGCACAGUCCCACGGAAACCAGGGCUUCAACGACUCCAGAUUGAACAACAGGCAGCAGGCCAAAUUAAUCUGGCAAACCUCCCACAGUGCCCAGUUGAUCUACUACUCACCUCAAGUUGCAAAGAACUUGAUUACAGAGGCGAUACCCAAAUCUGGAUAAAACAAAAGCUGAAGAUGCAGCACACCUAAAGCGGCAUGGAUGCUCUGAAAUGUCACCUGCAGAACACAGGGCUGAGAGCUAGUGCCUGAGACCCUGACAGGGAUAUCUGCCCUGUGCUCUUGUCCAGCAGCACAUACUAACACCAGUGUGAAAACAAAAGAGAAGUGGAUAGCACAAUAUGUCACCCACCACAGAAUGCUCAGGAAGUUACAAAGAUGAAACGCGAGUUCAUAGACAUGAUCACUUGCGGCUGAAUACUGAUGUUACUGAAGGAAACGUCCCAUUUCCACCGCAGUAUUGCAGUAGGAGCCAAAGCUGGACAUGUGCAAGCGGACAGAGCCAACUCCUCCUGCUGAGAGAGACCCGCUGCAAUUUAUUACCCUCGGCAA